UACGGAGGGGGCUAGCGUUGUCCGGAAUUACUGGGCGUAAAGCGCACGUAGGCGGCUUUGUAAGUUAGAGGUGAAAGCUCGGGGCUCAACUCCGGAAUUGCCUUUAAGACUGCAUCGCUAGAAUUGUGGAGAGGUAAGUGGAAUUCCGAGUGUAGAGGUGAAAUUCGUAGAUAUUCGGAAGAACACCAGUGGCGAAGGCGACUUACUGGACACAUAUUGACGCUGAGGUGCGAAAGCGUGGGGAGCAAACAGG
rnacentral:rRNA from 1 species